rnacentral:rRNA from 1 species
ACGGGUGAGUAACACGUAGGCAACCUGCCCUCAGGACUGGGAUAACUACCGGAAACGGUAGCUAAUACCAGAUAAUUCACUUCUUCGCAUGGAGAAGUGAGGAAAGACGGAGCAAUCUGUCACCGGAGGAUGGGCCUGCGGCGCAUUAGCUAGUUGGAGAGGUAACGGCUCCCCAAGGCGACGAUGCGUAGCCGACCUGAGAGGGUGAUCGGCCACACUGGGACUGAGACACGGCCCAGACUCCUACGGGAGGCAGCAGUAGGGAAUCUUCCGCAAUGGGCGAAAGCCUGACGGAGCAACGCCGCGUGAGUGAUGAAGGUUUUCGGAUCGUAAAGCUCUGUUGCCAAGGAAGAACGUCCUUAAGAGUAACUGCCUAAGGAGUGACGGUACUUGAGAAGAAAGCCCCGGCUAACUACGUGCCAGCAGCCGCGGUAAUACGUAGGGGGCAAGCGUUGUCCGGAAUUAUUGGGCGUAAAGCGCGCGCAGGCGGUCAUUUAAGUCUGGUGUUUAAGCCCGGGGCUCAACCCCGGAUCGCACGGGAAACUGGAUGACUUGAGUGCAGAAGAGGAGAGUGGAAUUC